GUGGGUAGUUUGACUGGGGCGGUCUCCUCCCAAAGCGUAACGGAGGAGCACGAAGGUUAGCUAAUCCUGGUCGGACAUCAGGAGGUUAGUGCAAUGGCAUAAGCUAGCUUGACUGCGAGCGUGACGGCGCGAGCAGGUGCGAAAGCAGGUCAUAGUGAUCCGGUGGUUCUGAAUGGAAGGGCCAUCGCUCAACGGAUAAAAGGUACUCCGGGGAUAACAGGCUGAUACCGCCCAAGAGUUCAUAUCGACGGCGGUGUUUGGCACCUCGAUGUCGGCUCAUCACAUCCUGGGGCUGAAGUAGGUCCCAAGGGUAUGGCUGUUCGCCAUUUAAAGUGGUACGCGAGCUGGGUUUAGAACGUCGUGAGACAGUUCGGUCCCUAUCUGCCGUGGGCGCUGGAGAAUUGAGGGGGGCUGCUCCUAGUACGAGAGGACCGGAGUGGACGCAUCAC
rnacentral:rRNA from 1 species